GGACCCGUAGUGUAGCGGUUAACACGCCUGCCUGUCACGCAGGAGAUCGCCGGUUCGAAUCCGGUCGGGUUCGCCA
rnacentral:tRNA from 1 species